CAAUAAAUAUAUACUUUAAAAAUAGCAUUCGCUAUCAUCUGCAUUUUCCAGCAUACACAAGGGGCCAUGGAAGGGAUCCCCCACAGAAACAGUAUUACUGUAUUUUAGACCGUGGGAAGAGACGCCGUGACUCAGAAUGGACUUGAUCGCUCCUAUUUAUUCCUUUUCUCCCCUCUAACAGCCGUGAUUUUGGACAGCUCCAUCCAGCGCUAUGUCAUUAGGGGCCUGGCCCCCGCCUCGAUCGUGCACGUCUACCUCAUGGUGGCCACCGAAGGAGGGAGCACUCGGGGAUCUGUGCUGUCCGUCCGCACCAAGAGUGAUGAACACGGCAAAGCCGAAGUCUUGAUCUUGGCAUUUUCUGUUGGGUUCCUCCUCCUCUUUGGAUCGUUGGCCUGCGUCUACAGAUAUCGAUGGCUUCAGAAAUACCUGUGGCCAAAAGUUCCAGACCCAGGAAAAAGCAACAUCGCUACCUGGAUGCCACCGAAAAUGUGUCUGGACUUCCCCUCUCCUUGCACCAAGAAAUGGAGUCAAGAUUAUCUCCAUAUGACCAUCCGUGACCUCUUGAGGGUCCACCCAUCCCAAGAGGGUGAGACAGACUCAAAAAUGUUUGCAGAAAAACGGUGGAUGGUGGAGGUUCCUGCCACUUUCUGGAAGAUCAGCCCUAUGCUAGGUAGCGAGGAUCCCUCAUGGAGGGAUGGAGACCUGCCCCAGAAAGGCCUGCCUUCUAGCAACGAGGUGGACUACUCAAAGGUAAUUGUAGUCCAAAAGAGUCACAAUCCAGAACAAAGAAACCUGUUUGAUUCUCAGACUCUUUCCAAGUACCAAGAUCCUAGAGACUCGCACCCUGGAUCUGAGUUUGGCCGUGGUCUCUGGCUUCAGAAUUUGACCUAUGAGACCCUGAUGGAUGGUGGGUUAGACAAGAGAACCUUGGAACCCAAAGGGGAGUUUCCAUUCCUGGUGAGUCUCGUGACCCUAGAAGAUCUUUAUCCUGCUGGGAGCCUGCACAAGGUUCCCCUUGAAAAAUCCUAAUACAGUGGUGCCUCACUUAGCGAGGUUAAUCCGUUCCGGAAAAACCCUCGCUAAGUGAUUUCAUUGCUAUCCGGAAAUGAAAAGCCCAUAGGAACAUAUUGAAACGGGUUUAAUAUGUUCCUAUGGGCUUAAAACUUACCUUUAAGCGAAAAAUCUCCAUUGCGGCAGCCAUUUUGGGUGCCUCGUAAGCGAGGCAAAACAGUGGUCGCCAUUUUGUUUUUUGGCGGCCAUUUUGGAACCGCCCAUCAGCUGGGAAAAAAUGGGGGCUUUGCAGUGAUCGCGUCCCCGCAAUCGUCGCAAAGAGAUUUUUCCCCAUAGGGGCCAUCGCUAGGCGAUCACUCCAGCGAUGGCCCCAAACCCCUUGCUAUGCGGAUUCGUCGUUAAACAGUGCGCUCGCUAUGCGGGGCACCACUGUAUAUAUCACAGCAUUCCUGCAAGACCUUAGAUCUUGGCAAGUCUGAAGGUAGCUGACAUUUUUCUGACCAUUAAGUUCUGCCCACUUAUCUGAAAUCCACAGGGAGCUGAAGGAAGGCCCUCCAAAAUUUCACAAGUAAACUAGCAGAGAAUUGGUUUCAAGAUAACAUUUGUAGAUAGUGGGAGGUUCUUUUCCCUUUCUUGUAACACGAGGAGUCUGUGGAGUCAUCUGCAGAACUUGAAACCUCAGAGCAGACUGAACGAAGAGCUCCUUUGCGCAGGGCGUGGAUAAACUGUGGAACUCACUGCCGCAAGAUGAAUUGACAAUGGCCUGCAGGGCUGCCUCUCAGAUAAAUUCAGACCCAGUUGGACUAAAAGCCAUUAAAAGCACCUUAUUCAACCCAAGCUGCUGAAUAACAGCUCAGAUCUAAGAUCUUGCAAAAGGCUUCGCUUUGGUCUAGCAUGCACGGCUUUUGGACUAUGCCAGCAAAUUUCUGCAAAUAACUCGAGCAACACCAACCCCAUCAGGACAAGGAGCCAAAGUUUCUCAAAAGGUGUUGGAAGAGGUAGAUCUGGUUGGGGAAAA
ensembl:lncRNA